rnacentral:rRNA from 1 species
CCUACGGGCGGCAGCAGUGGGGAAUUUUGCGCAAUGCUCGUAAGAGUGACGCAGCGACGCCGCGUGAAUGACGAAGGCCUUCGGGUCGUAAAGUUCUUUCGACAGGGAAGAAAAUGCCUAUAAGUAACUGUGUAUGUAUUGACGGUACCUGUAUAAGCAGCCCCGGCGAACUCCGUGCCAGCCGCCGCGGUAAUACGGAGGGGGCGAGCGGUGUUCGGAGUGACUGGGCGUAAAGAGCACGUAGGCGGGUGUGUAAGUCGUUAGUCAAAGAGUAGCGCUCAACUUUAGUAAGGCUGUGAUACUAUAAUACUAGAGUAUCACAGAGGAAUGCAGAAUUCCUGGUGUAGCGGUGAAAUGCGUAGAUAUCAGGAGGAAUACCGUUAGCGAAGGCAGCAAUCUGGCUGGAAACUGACGCUGAGGUGCGAAAGCGUGGGUAGCAAACAGGAUUAGAUACCCCUGUAGUC